AUUGAACGCUGGCGGCAUGCCUUACACAUGCAAGUCGAACGGCAGCACGGGUGCUUGCACCUGGUGGCGAGUGGCGAACGGGUGAGUAGUACAUCGGAACAUGUCCCGUAGUGGGGGAUAGCCCGGCGAAAGCCGGAUUAAUACCGCAUACGAACUACGGAUGAAAGCGGGGGACCUUCGGGCUUCGCGCUAUAGGGUUGGCCGAUGCCUGAUUAGCUAGUUGGUGGGGUAAAGGCCUACCAAGGCGACGAUCAGUAGCUGGUCUGAGAGGACGACCAGCCACACUGGGACUGAGACACGGCCCAGACUCCUACGGGAGGCAGCAGUGGGGAAUUUUGGACAAUGGGCGAAAGCCUGAUCCAGCAAUGCCGCGUGUGUGAAGAAGGCCUUCGGGUUGUAAAGCACUUUUGUCCGGAAAGAAAUCCUUGGCCCUAAUACGGUCGGGGGAUGACGGUACCGGAAGAAUAAGCACCGGCUAACUACGUG
rnacentral:rRNA from 1 species